rnacentral:lncRNA from 1 species
UUUCAGACACGAAAUUAAAAUGAUGCCUCAACCAAAUCAUAGAUGUAAGUCCAAAAUGCUGUAUAAUUGCUCCAUCACCCUUAGGAGAAGUUCUGAUUAAAAUGAGUCACAUUGACCUUGGGUGACAUGGCCUAAGGGGCAAUUAUUCCCCAAGGGACUUAAUUAAAUGCAAUUAGACCAGUGAGAGUACAUUUAACGAGUCCCCUUGUGAUACCUAUAUUUCUAAUCUAUUUUUCCAGCAACUUUCACUAAUGAUUUGAUUCACUCAACAUCUGUCAAUGGAUAACGAUUGGGCACUCACAACUAUAAUGUGAUGAUGGAAUACCUAGGUCCCAUGAUUCAGAAAUUAGAGAGAAAAUAUAGACACAUGUCAAGCUGAACCAGAAUAUAAGAGGUCAUCUGUUAAUAGGCCAAAUGUACAAUAGAGAGAAUGAGCAAAAUACUGUUAGAGGAAAAGGUGCUUACUGUAGGUGGAAGCAGAUACAGUUGGCCUCAGGGACAACUUGAAGACUUGUAGUAUAUAGAUAAGGAUAGAAUACUCUGAAUCAGACUUUGAUGGUGGAAAGAAUUCCAGGGAUCAUCUUGUCUCAUAAAACUUCCUCUUACACUGCUCUAGCACUCUGAAGGGGUUAUGUAGCUUACUCCAAACCAUCCUAUUUGUGGCUUGAAGUAUUUUUUAAAAGAUGAGAAAAAUGAGAAAGUUGAGUAGUAUAGAUGCAUGAACUAUAUUUUGGGGAUGAUAUAUUGACCAGCUAAGUAAGG